GAUGAAGAACGUAGCGAAAUGCGAUAAGUAAUGUGAAUUGCAGAAUUCAGUGAAUCAUCGAAUCUUUGAACGCACAUUGCGCCCAUUAGUAUUCUAGUGGGCAUGCCUGUUCGAGCGUCAUUAAGUCCACUUAAGCCCUGCUUAGUGUUGGGAGACUGCUCCAGCGGUGCUACCCUGUAGCUACCCUGCAGCUCCUCAAAGACAGCGGCGGAGUUGUGGUAUCCUCUGAGCUUAGUAACUUGUUCUAGCUUUCGAGUACACCACUUCCCCUGCCGUAAAACCCUUAAUUUUUAAUGGUUGACCUCGGAUCAGGUAGGAAUACCCGCUGAACAUAAGCAUAUCAAUAAGCGGAGGA
rnacentral:misc_RNA from 1 species